rnacentral:rRNA from 1 species
AUACGUAGGGGACGAGCGUUGUCCGGAAUUACUGGGCGUAAAGGGCGCGCAGGCGGAUAUUUAAGUCAGCUGUAAAAGGCAUGAGCUCAACUCAUGUAUGCGGUUGAAACUGGGUAUCUAGAGUGCUGGAGAGGUAGGCGGAAUUCCAGGUGUAGCGGUGUAAUGCGUAGAUAUCGGGAAGAACACCACUUGCGAAGGCGGCUUACUGGCCAGCAACUGACGCUGAGGCGCGAAAGCCAGGGGAGCGAACGGGAUUAGAUACCCCGGUAGUCCUGGCCGUAAACGAUGAAUGCUAGGUGUGGGUGUCGAGAGGCAUCCGUGCCGGAGUUAACGCGAUAAGCAUUCCGCCUGGGGAGUACGAUCGCAAGAUUGAAACUCAAAGGAAUUGACGGGG